rnacentral:rRNA from 1 species
GACGAACGCUGGCGGCGUGCCUAAUACAUGCAAGUAGAACGCUGAAGGAGGAGCUUGCUUCUCUGGAUGAGUUGCGAACGGGUGAGUAACGCGUAGGUAACCUGCCUGGUAGCGGGGGAUAACUAUUGGAAACGAUAGCUAAUACCGCAUAAGAGUAGAUGUUGCAUGACAUUUGCUUAAAAGGUGCAAUUGCAUCACUACCAGAUGGACCUGCGUUGUAUUAGCUAGUUGGUGGGGUAACGGCUUACCAAGGCGACGAUACAUAGCCGACCUGGGAGGGGGAUCGGCCACACUGGGACUGAGACACGGCCCAGACUCCUACGGGAGGCAGCAGUAGGGAAUCUUCGGCAAUGGACGGAAGUCUGACCGAGCAACGCCGCGUGAGUGAAGAAGGUUUUCGGAUCGUAAAGCUCUGUUGUAAGAGAAGAACGAGUGUGAGAGUGGAAAGUCCACACUGUGACGGUAUCUUACCAGAAAGGGACGGCUAACUACGUG